CAUGCAGUCGAGCGAUUUACUUCGGUAAGAGCGGCGGACGGGUGAGUAACGCGUGGGUAACCUGCCUUAUACACAUGGAUAACAUACCGAAAGGUAUGCUAAUACAGGAUAAUAUAAGAGAUUCACAUGGAUUUCUUAUCAAAGCUCCGGCGGUAUGAGAUGGACCCGCGUCUGAUUAGCUAGUUGGUAAGGUAAUGGCUUACCAAGGCGACGAUCAGUAGCCGACCUGAGAGGGUGAUCGGCCGCAUUGGAACUGAGACACGGUCCAAACUCCUACGGGAGGCAGCAGUGGGGAAUAUUGCACAAUGGGCGAAAGCCUGAUGCAGCAACGCCGCGUGAGUGAUGAAGGCCUUCGGGUCGUAAAACUCUGUCCUCAAGGAAGAUAAUGACGGUACUUGAGGAGGAAGCCCCGGCUAACUACGUGCCAGCAGCCGCGGUAAUACGUAGGGGGCUAGCGUUAUCCGGAUUUACUGGGCGUAAAGGGUGCGUAGGUGGUUUUUUAAGUCAGGAGUGAAAGGCUACGGCUCAACCGUAGUAAGCUCUUGAAACUGGAAAACUUGAGUGCAGGAGAGGAAAGUGGAAUUCCUAGUGUAGCGGUGAAAUGCGUAGAUAUUAGGAGGAACACCAGUAGCGAAAGGCGGCUUUCUGGACUGUAACUGACACUGAGGCCCGAAAGCCGUGGGGAGCAAACAGGAUUAGAUACCCUGGUAGUCCACGCCGUAACGAUGAGUACUAGGUGUCGGGGGUUACCCCCCCUCGUGCCGCAGCUAACCGCAUUAAGUACCUCCCGCCUGGGGAGUACGC
rnacentral:rRNA from 1 species